UACAGAGGGGGCAAGCGUUGUCCGGAUUUAUUGGGCGUAAAGAGCUCGUAGGCGGCUCGUUGCGUCGGCUGUGAAAACCCGCAGCUCAACUGUGGGCUUGCAGCUGAUACGGGCGGGCUGGGAUUCGGUAGGGGAGACUGGAAUUCCUGGUGUAGCGGUGAAAUGCGCAGAUAUCAGGAGGAACACCAGUGGCGAAGGCGACUACCUGGCCUGUUCUUGACGCUGAGGCGCGAAAGCUAGGGGAGCAAACGGG
rnacentral:rRNA from 1 species